UACGUAGGGUGCGAGCGUUGUCCGGAAUUACUGGGCGUAAAGAGCUCGUAGGUGGUUUGUCGCGUUGUUCGUGAAAUCUCACGGCUUAACUGUGAGCGUGCGGGCGAUACGGGCAGACUAGAGUACUGCAGGGGAGACUGGAAUUCCUGGUGUAGCGGUGGAAUGCGCAGAUAUCAGGAGGAACACCGAUGGCGAAGGCAGUUCUCUGGGCCGUAACUGACGCUGAGGAGCGAAAGCGUGGGGAGCGAACAGG
rnacentral:rRNA from 1 species